rnacentral:rRNA from 1 species
UAGGGAAUCUUCGGCAAUGGGGGCAACCCUGACCGAGCAACGCCGCGUGAGUGAAGAAGGUUUUCGGAUCGUAAAGCUCUGUUGUAAGAGAAGAACGUGUGUGAGAGUGGAAAGUUCACACAGUGACGGUAACUUACCAGAAAGGGACGGCUAACUACGUGCCAGCAGCCGCGGUAAUACGUAGGUCCCGAGCGUUGUCCGGAUUUAUUGGGCGUAAAGCGAGCGCAGGCGGUUUAAUAAGUCUGAAGUUAAAGGCAGUGGCUUAACCAUUGUUCGCUUGGGAAACUGUUAAACUUGAGUGCAGAAGGGGAGAGGGGAAUUCCAUGUGUAGCGGUGAAAUGCGUAGAUAUAUGGAGGAACACCGGUGGCGAAAGCGGCUCUCUGGUCUGUAACUGACGCUGAGGCUCGAAAGCGUGGGGAGCAAACAGG